UUCCUACGGGAGGCAGCAGUGGGGAAUAUUGGGCAAUGGGCGCAAGCCUGACCCAGCAACGCCGCGUGAAGGAAGAAGGCUUUCGGGUUGUAAACUUCUUUUAUUCGGGACGAAGAAAGUGACGGUACCGAAUGAAUAAGCCACGGCUAACUACGUGCCAGCAGCCGCGGUAAUACGUAGGUGGCAAGCGUUAUCCGGAUUUAUUGGGUGUAAAGGGCGUGCAGCCGGGCUGACAAGUCAGAUGUGAAAUCCCGCGGCUCAACCGCGGAACUGCAUUUGAAACUGUCAGUCUUGAGUACCGGAGG
rnacentral:rRNA from 1 species